rnacentral:lncRNA from 1 species
CGAAUAAGGUGUGGGUCACAGAGAUCACAUGCUUCACAAGGCAAUAAAAUAUCACAAGGCAAAUGGGGGCAGAACGAGAUCACAGGACCUGGGUGAAAUUAAAAUUGCUAAUGAAGUUUUGGGCAUGCAUUGUCAUUGAUAACAUCUUAUCAGGAGACAGGGUUUGAGAGCAGACAACAGGUCUAAAAUUUACUAGGCGGGAAUUUCCUCAUCCUAAAAGGCCUGGGGGUGCUACAGGAGACUGGGGCUUAUUUCAUCCCUUAUGUGCAACCGUACAAGAGACAUUCCCAGAGAGGCCAUUUCAGAGACCUCCCCCUAGGAAUGCAUUCUCUUUCUCAGGGCUGUUCCUUGCUGAGAAAAAGAAUUGAGCGGUAUUUCUCCUAUUUGCUUUUGUAAGAAGAGAAAUAUGGCUCUGUUCCGC